CAGACAGCCCUGCGCACUGAUGUCCUCUGCGCGCGGAGCCCAAGCAGCUGGGACAGCAGCCACUUUCCCAAGAUGCACCGCGCAGGUGCUUCAUCUUGGCCCUGGGAGGCCCACUUCUCAGGAUGAGAGGAUAAUUCACUCGCUAUAGCCCAUUCAAUCUUCAGCCCCU
rnacentral:sRNA from 1 species